UGAAUGUUGACUGAAAUACCACUGUGAGAAACAGGAAGGAAGGCAGGUACCUGUACACAUAGUACGCCCAGAGCAAGGUGAGGCCACCUGAGAAGUAGAAGACACUCUGCCAGCCACACUGGUCCAGGAGCACGGAGCCUACGCCCCCAGUCACCAGGGUCCUGGGAGACACAGAGAAGUGCUGUAGUGACCUUGGUUGCUAUCCUAAAAAGAGUCAAGCUCCCAGAGAGAGGCCGCUCGCUCGGAUGCUCCUGCCUGGAGGAUUUUGCUCUUCAGGGAGACUGGGGGUGGGACAGCUAGGGCAAGGGGAAUCUGGGGGCAGCUGAGGAGACUCAGCAUGGAAACUACUGCUGGGUUUUUCAUUUCUUCCUUCUAGAACUUCAAACUGGCCUACAAUUUGCCACGUGGACGCUCUCGUGGUGGUGGUGGUGGUGGUGGUGGUGGGGUGUGUGUGUGUGUGUGUGUGUGUGUGUGUGUGUGUCGGGGGAGGAAUGAUAAAAGGGUAGCUUAGGAAACACUGAAAUAAAAAUAUCCCUUUUUGCAUUUUUGUCCUACAUAUAAUACAGAGAACAGUAUUCUAGUAGAGCUUCUGAUGUGCAAAUGCAUAGCUGCAGACACCAGGCCCCACAUUACAUAGCUGCAGACACCAGGCCCCACAACCUUCCCCUUGAUUCCCGGGUACUGUGCCCAGACGUGAUGCAAAGCACCUCUGCCUCACCCUUCAACCUCCCACCCACCACUCUGUGCACUCAUCCAAGCGAAAGAGAGAACACUGGGCUCUGGUGUGAGGCUUCCUGUGCAUUCUGUACCCUAGGCAUGGCACCCAGGGCUGGACCUACCCUUGCCUGGGUACUUUCUCUCCCACUCUUCCUGGCCAUGCAUAGAACCCUAUCUGCUAUGCCAGACACUGAACCCUUCCAUAGGACCUGAGCCCUAUUGUUUCUUUGACAUCCGCACUUCACAGUGCAAACUGUGUUUUCAGGGUUAGAUCAGGCCACCCUAACCAGAAGAGCUAGCCUUGCAUUCUGUGGGCGCUCUUUGCGGCUCCCUCUCUCUGUCCCCAGUCUGAACUCAGCAACUGUAGACCUAGGCCUGGAU
rnacentral:lncRNA from 1 species